UUCCUACGGGGGGCAGCAGUGGGGAAUAUUGCACAAUGGGGGAAACCCUGAUGCAGCGACGCCGCGUGAGUGAAGAAGUAAUUCGUUAUGUAAAGCUCUAUCAGCAGGGAAGAAAAUGACGGUACCUGAGUAAGAAGCCCCGGCUAACUACGUGCCAGCAGCCGCGGUAAUACGUAGGGGGCAAGCGUUAUCCGGAUUUACUGGGUGUAAAGGGCGUGUAGCCGGGCUGACAAGUCAGAUGUGAAAUUCCGGGGCUCAACCCCGGACCUGCAUUUGAAACUGUUGGUCUUGAGUAUCGGAGAGGG
rnacentral:rRNA from 1 species